rnacentral:rRNA from 1 species
UGGGGAAUUUUGCACAAUGGGCGCAAGCCUGAUGCAGCGACGCCGCGUGAGGGAUGAAGGCCUUCGGGUUGUAAACCUUUUUCGCUCAUGGUCAAGCCGCAGCUUUGGGUUGUGGUGAGGGUAGUGGGUAAAGAAGCGCCGGCUAACUACGUGCCAGCAGCCGCGGUAAUACGUAGGGCCCGAGCGUUGUCCGGAAUUAUUGGGCGUAAAGGGCUUGUAGGCGGUUGGCCGCGUCUGCCGUGAAAUCCUCUGGCUUAACUGGGGGCGUGCGGUGGGUACGGGUUGACUUGAGUGCGGUAGGGGAGACUGGAAUUCCUGGUGUAGCGGUGGAAUGCGCAGAUAUCAGGAGGAACACCGGUGGCGAAGGCGGGUCUCUGGGCCGUUACUGACGCUGAGGAGCGAAAGCGUGGGGAGCAAACAGG